UACGUAGGGGGCAAGCGUUGUCCGGAAUUAUUGGGCGUAAAGCGCGCGCAGGCGGUCAUUUAAGUCUGGUGUUUAAUCCUGGGGCUCAACCCCGGGUCGCACUGGAAACUGGGUGGCUUGAGUACAGAAGAGGAGAGUGGAAUUCCACGUGUAGCGGUGAAAUGCGUAGAUAAUGUGGAGGAACACCAGUGGCGAAGGCGACUCUCUGGGCUGUAACUGACGCUGAGGCGCGAAAGCGUGGGGAGCAAACAGG
rnacentral:rRNA from 1 species